UACAGAGGUCCCAAGCGUUGUUCGGAUUCAUUGGGCGUAAAGGGCGCGUAGGCGGCCGAUCAAGUCAGGCGUGAAAGCCCCGGGCUCAACCUGGGAAUGGCGCUUGGGACUGGUUGGCUUGAGUUCGGGAGAGGAGAGUGGAAUUCCCAGUGUAGAGGUGAAAUUCGUAGAUAUUGGGAAGAACACCGGUGGCGAAGGCGGCUCUCUGGACCGAGACUGACGCUGAGGCGCGAAAGCGUGGGGAGCAAACAGG
rnacentral:rRNA from 1 species